UGUGGUGAAGCAGUCUCAACAGAAUUACACAGAAUAUAAUGAAGUCUCAGCACCCAGAGCACCCACGGAGACCCAUAACGAUCACACUACUCAUGGCUCUGAAGAAAUCUUACCUAAACUUUCCAAGUAAAACCAGACUAAAACCAGUUUGGAAUUUCCAGCCAUCAUCAAAGUCAGUUUUCUGCUGCCUUAGUUCAGCUGGUGGGUGUGUCCACUAGCUGCCUCCUGAAAGCUCUGCGUUGCCAAGGCAACAGUUGGUGGACACACCCACCAGGAAAUGAAAGAUGUAAUUUGUAAUAACCGCACGGAGCCCUGCUGCUUCCUUUCUGCUUGGAAAGCAUAAUCUUUAAUAACUCGCGGCCCACAGUCGAAGUCAAAGACUUGUGAUUCCAGAUGGCAAAGGCCUUAGCAGCAGCCCCUGUGAUCUUUCAUGUGCAAAGGACUCCAACUGCUAUCAACUUUCAACAGCGAUGUGUCCAUAAAAAGACCGAGGAAAGGUCUAAAGGCUAAUUGAAAUGACGAGGGACUGAAGGCCCAGAGCUGGCUGGCAGUGGGACACGACACAGUGAAGUUCACAAGAGUCAUUGCUGCGGGAGCGAGGCCAGCUGGGGGCAUCUGAGAAGGCAUUGAGAUGUGUGCUGGUAAACACUCGGUGAGAACGGAAAGAGAUCGCUGAGACCAGUGAAGUUUGGAGCCAAAUCUGAGGUUUUCAUUUUCCAUCCCCAGAAGAAAAAUAGAUUGGAAAAUGCUUCAAAGAAAAAAUUUCUAAUUUUCUACCACAAAAGAGGAGACUCCUGUGAAAGGGGUUUGAACCCUAAAGAUAUUACAACCCAUCGGUUGAGAGCUGCUGCUCCAGCUGUUUGUACUCAUCAGAGACAUCUGGGCCAAAUGUAACCAAGGGAAGAUGACAGUGUGAAGACCAACCUGGGACCUGAGAAUGACAGAGCGAGAGGAAACAAAAGCCCCAGAUCCUGGGAGAUGUGUUUUGAGUCACUGAAUUACUUACCCAACUCUAGAUUUACCCUCCUUCUGAAUUACCUUUUAAGAGAAAAUAAAUUGCAUUAUGGGUUGUAUUAA